rnacentral:rRNA from 1 species
UACGUAGGUCCCGAGCGUUGUCCGGAUUUAUUGGGCGUAAAGCGAGCGCAGGUGGUUUAUUAAGUCUGGUGUAAAAGGCAGUGGCUCAACCAUUGUAUGCAUUGGAAACUGGUAGACUUGAGUGCAGGAGAGGAGAGUGGAAUUCCACGUGUAGCGGUGAAAUGCGUAGAUAUAUGGAGGAACGCCGGUGGCGAAAGCGGCUCUCUGGCCUGUAACUGACACUGAGGCUCGAAAGCGUGGGGAGCAAACAGG